rnacentral:lncRNA from 1 species
GGCUUGGGAAGACGCGGGUUAGGUAUGCUUUUCUGUCACUGCUAGCUCGGUCCACUUCGCUUUUUCUCUCUCGCUACUCGCGCGCUUGCUCGCUGCUUUUCGCUCUGCACUAUUCAUAGCCAACGUGGAGCCAUCAGUGCGCCUAGCACCCCUUUCAUCCUUUAUAAGUUCAACUAGCUUGAUCCACUUCGCUUUUUCUCUCUCGCUACUCGCGUGCUCACUCGCUGCUUUUCGCUCUGCACUAUUCAUAACCGACGUGGAGCCAUCCGUUGCGCCUAGCACCCCUUUCAUCCUUUAUAAGUUCAACUAGCUCGAUCCACUUCACUUUUUCUCUCUCGCUACUCGCGUGCUCGCUCGCUGCUUUUCGCUCUGCACUAUUCAUAACCGGCGUGGAGCCAUCCGUUAUGCCUAGCAGCCCUUUCAUCCUUUAUAAGUUCAAUUACCUAUUGUAACUAGUCCCUUGAUUACAUGUAAUUUGGACAACUUACUUCGUGAGGUCCUUCGAAACUCAUAGAAUUGUGGACACGAGGCAUGACGUUUUCUUGGAAUGAGUUGGACGCGGUUGAGACAUUUGUUCAGGAGUACAAUGUUGGCAUGUACGAUGUCUCAUUUGUGCAAUUCGUGCAUACCUUAAAAAAGAGCAAUGUCGAGAAGCCACUCCUAAUAUGAACUGUAUUAUCUAUCAACUUAUUCAUGUAUUAUUUUUAAAUUUAAUAUAUACAUACAUAUAUAGUGCUUACCAAUUGUGUUCUUGCAAUAGGAACUCACAAGACGUGUGGUGCCUGCCCAAAUGCCUAGCAUAGUGGUGAUAUGGGAGUUAUUGUCUAUGACGAGACAAAUAUAAUGAUGAGGACAUCCCUAGUUCACCUCGUUUGUCAUCUUCUCAUGAUAAAUCUCAGUUACAAUGCGCUCCUAGCUGAUCAUAAUUCAAAUAUCCAUGACAACUUUAUACUGCCUAAAUCUUGUGUGCUGGCUUUACUCGGGUACAAUGUUGAGGACAAGCAUCAACUUUCAGCCCAUGACAAAACAAGUUCUGCAACCCUUGCAACAAUUUUGAAGAAAGCAAGUUUCACCUCUGAUGUAAGCAUGUUUUGGUGACAACGGAAACUACGUACACUUCAGGUAUGAAUAGCAAGCCAUCUCAAUCUACUAUUGCACGCACAGUUCCAGGAUUCUUCCCAUAACUUGUUGCAUCAUGUCGCAUGAAUAUAUGAGUAUCUAGCAUGUGUGGAAGGCCGAAAUGGACAACAUAUGAAGUCUACUUUCAGAAAAAUCAAAUUGUGCAUCAUUUGGAGCCCUUGAUCAAAGAAUAUGAGAGUUCCAAUGCAAGUUGUCCACAACAUUAAUUGUUGUGUGAGGCUCCAUGGUUUGCUCCCUUUCCCAGCUGGUUAGUAUGAAUUUGAGCCCCUCUUUUGGACUAGUUUCACACCUAAGCUAGGAGGGUUGUUCCUAGUAUAAAUACCCCAUCCUCCACUUCUACUUUAGCUCUUGGACAUUAAUGCUCAAUUUCAUUUCAGCAUAGGUUAGCUAAGUGCUACCAGAAUCUUGUUUGAAAGUUCACUUCCUUAGCUCUUGUAAUCUUGCCUUGUGAGAGGGUAAACUCACUUUGUGAUUUUACAAUAUUAGUCGUUGAGUCAGUGACUAGUUCGUGCUUCCAACUUCUUCUGUGGUUGCGUGGAUUGGAAACUUAGAGUGUGGUUGGGUG